rnacentral:rRNA from 1 species
UACGUAGGGGGCUAGCGUUGUCCGGAAUCAUUGGGCGUAAAGAGCGUGUAGGCGGCCCGGUAAGUCCGCUGUAAAAGUCAAAGGCUCAACCUUUGAAUGUCAGUGGAUACUGCCGGGGCUAGAGUCCGGAAGAGGCGAGUGGAACUCCUGGUGUAGCGGUGGAAUGCGCAGAUAUCAGGAAGAACACCAACGGCGAAGGCAGCUCGCUAGGACGGUACUGACGCUGAGACGCGAAAGCGUGGGGAGCGAACAGGAUUAGAU